GUAGUAAUCUCUCCUGUUUCGCAAAGAGUGGGGGAAUGGCAGCACCGCAGGGUGACCUGCCUGAAGCCACAGAGGGAAGAUAAAUAACUAGGAGGAAACACCAGAGCUGAAAAUCUCCAGCCGAGAUUUAAGGCCUGAGGCCCGUGAGCUGUUCUGGGAAGCGCUUGGCUCUCUGAGUGAAGGGCCCCGCCCGUGUGGUGUGAUCGUAGGUCUCAGUGGAGCCCUGACCAUUCGGUGGCUUCUCUGGACCACGUGGUUUACCUCUGACCAGGCCUCGCAGAGUUGCCCUCUGGCAUGAAUCCUCGUCAAUUCCCUGCAGGCCAGCUCCCAGGAGAGGGGCCCACAACUUGGAUGCUUGAAGACGGUGGCUGGCAGUUCAGGAACUGAGGAAGAAACUGCGAUCCAGAAAUACACAUAAUGCCUGCAUAAGGCAGCAAGAAGGCAGGCCAGAGCACAUUUCUGGACACUGAAUGUGGAGAGUGGCUAAGAUCUGCCUCCUGAUGGUUAGGGCUGGUUAAUAGAACAUGUGGAGCUCUGCUUCCAGGGGUAACCUGUCUAUUCAGCAAGUAACCAGCAAAAAGUUGCAUUCCGCAAAUGUUUGGAGAGCCUCAGACAAGGAGGUUGUUUUCAGCAGAGACUUAUGGGGAUAUUUUCUGUGCCUAAAGACUUUGAGGAAGUGAAAACCUUCUUCUGCCAAACCAGCGUUUUUAGAUCAAAAUGUGUCGUGGUUGGGAAGCUCUUGUCUCUGUCUGGCUGAGGUCACUAUCAGCCACACUGGUAAGAAGCAUGGAAAUCUGGUGCUCAGUUCUCAUCCCUAGGCAGAGGGCCGGCCUGGAGGACUUCUCAGUCUGGUAGCCCUGGCCUCUUCAGUGGCCCCAUUAACAACAUAUUCUGCCUUUCCUGUUGCCCUUCCUUGUUUCCGUCUUGCCAUUCUUGUUACAAUAUGCUUUCUGCUUUUCAUUUUUAAAACUCUUGAUUUCAGCUCAGGUCAUGAUCUCAAGGUCCGUGAGUUCGAGCCAUGUGUUGGGUUCUACUCUGACUGUAUGGAGCCUGCUUGAGAUUCUCUUUCUCCCUCUCUCUCUGCCCCUCCCCCUGCUUGUGGACAUGUAAGCUCC